UUAUGAUAUCAUGGUCACUGCUGACCGCUCAUACAAUCUCUGCAAUUGGUUUGCAGUUUAUUUGGAAAUUGUAUGGCGGUGCUUUGCAGUUUAUGUGGGGAUUGUACGACAGUCAGCAGAGACCUUUGAUAUCAAAUA
rnacentral:pre_miRNA from 2 species